rnacentral:rRNA from 1 species
AGAAAAUAGAUACCCUGGUAGUCCUAGCCCUAAACGGUGCGUGUUUGCUGUAAAAGGAAUCGACCCCUUUUGUGGCGAAAGCUAAACGCGUUAAAAACACGCCGCCUGGGGAGUACGGUCGCAAGAUUAAAACUCAAAGAAAUUGACGGGGCCUGCACAAGCGGUGGAGUAUGUGGCUUAAUUCGAUGCAACGCGAAGAACCUUACCUGGCCUUGACAUGCAAGUGGUAGAACCAUGAAAGUGGGACGAUCCCGCAAGGGAAGCUUGCACAGGUGCUGCAUGGCUGUCGUCAGCUCGUGUCGUGAGAUGUUGGGUUAAGUCCCGCAACGAGCGCAACCCUUGUGCCCUGUUGCCACUUCCUCGAGAGAGGAAAGCGCUCUGGACAGACUGCCUCGCUUAAACGGGGAGAAGGUGGGAUGACGUCAAGUCAGUAUGGCCCUUACGGCCAGGGCUGCACACGUACUACAAUGCCUUACACAAAGGGAAGCAAGACCGUCAGGUGGAGCAAAUCCCAGAAAAUAAGGCCCAGUUCAGAUUGUCGU